rnacentral:rRNA from 1 species
GCGUGCGGGAAGAAGGCCCUCGGGUUGUAAACCGCUUUCAGACGGAAAGAAAUAGCGCAAGUUAAUACCUUGUGUUGAUGACGGUACCGUCAGAAGAAGCACCGGCUAACUACGUGCCAGCAGCCGCGGUAAUACGUAGGGUGCGAGCGUUAAUCGGAAUUACUGGGCGUAAAGCGUGCGCAGGCGGUUCUCUAAGACAGGUGUGAAAUCCCCGGGCUUAACCUGGGAAUUGCGCUUGUGACUGGAGGACUAGAGUGUGGAAGAGGGGGAUGGAAUUCCUGGUGUAGCAGUGAAAUGCGU